UACGUAGGGAGCAAGCGUUAUCCGGAUUUACUGGGCGUAAAGGGAGCGUAGGCGGCCUGCCAAGUCUGAUGUGAAAUACCGGGGCUCAACCCCGGGGCUGCAUUGGAAACUGGCAGGCUGGAGUGCCGGAGAGGCAGGCGGAAUUCCUAGUGUAGCGGUGAAAUGCGUAGAUAUCAGGAGGAACACCAGUGGCGAAGGCGGCUGUCUGGUCUGCAACUGACGCUGAGGCUCGAAAGCAUGGGUAGCGAACAGG
rnacentral:rRNA from 1 species